rnacentral:rRNA from 1 species
GGGCUGGGAAAGACCGGUGCCAGCCGCCGCGGUAUCGUAAGGAGGAUCAGCGUUAUCUGGAAUCACUGGGAUUAAGGGUCCGUAGGCGGACUAUUAUCUCAGAGGUGAAAUCCUUCCGCUCAACCGCGAAAUUGCCUUUGAUACUGCUCCUCUUGAGUUAUUGUGAAGUAAAUGGAAUGUGUAGCGUAACGGAGAAAUGAAUCUAUAUCUCACGGAAUACCGAUUGCGAAGGCAGAUCACUAAGCAUACACUGACGCUGAGGGACGAAAGCGUGCGGAGCGAACAGGAUUAGAUACCCUGGUAGUCCACGCCGUAAACGAUGCAUACUCUCUGUUCGAACUACAUCUGUUUAUCGAGUGGCCACACUAUAAUAAGCCCUAUC